AACGCACAUUGCGCCUUUUGGUAUUCCGAAGGGCAUGCCUGUUUGAGUGUUGUUAUUCUAUAUCAUGUAAAUGAUGUGUUGGUCGAAGUGAAAAUCACUCGACCUAAGAUUAUUGUACCACGUCUAGGUUUAUCCAUCGUGAGAAGUACAGCUGAUCAUAUAUACCAAUAUGACCAUUUAACACAUAACCUCAAAUCAGGUAGGACUACGCGCUGAACUUAA
rnacentral:misc_RNA from 1 species